GGAAAGGAUAAUCUGUGUACCCAACAACAGGAUCAGGAAUGUAAAACGUGCUUCUGUUGUACUUGUUCAAAGGUGCAUUCAGCUCAAAGCGCUUCGGCAAAUCCGGAUUAGCUAAAAACAGACGGCCAAAAGCAACCAAAUCUGUAUAAUUCGCUGCAACAGCUUUGUUGCCUUCAUCUCUACUAUAUCCUCCAGCAGCAAUGAAAGUUCCCUCAAAAGCUCUCCUCAUCGACAACAAGCUGCGUUGAGUUUCAGACUUGUCAGUGAGUUGAAUCAUCCUUGGCUCGAUUACGUGUAGAUAAAGAAGCUUAAAUUUGUUGAGUGCUUUCGCCAUGUACAGGCCAAGUGCUUCCGGAUUUGAGUCUACGGCUUCCGCGCACUCAGCAUAAGGCGACAGUCUCAUGCCAACUCUUUCGGCUCCGAUUUCACGAACCACAGCUUCAACUACUUCCAGGGCAAAUCGGCAUCGGUUUUCAAGGCUUCCGCCGUAUUCAUCCGUCCUGUCAUUUACUUGAUCUUUCAUGAAUUGAUCAAUCAAGUAGCCAUUUGCUCCAUGAAUUUCAACCCCAUCAAAACCUGUGAAAUGGUAUCCCAAGUUAAAAUAAGCACCGGUAAACUUCAAUUAAUUCUCCCCAAUAGAAUGACAAUUUUCAAUUUAUCUUCUGAAGGUGUGAACAUCUCAAGUCACCCCAUUUUUCGUUCAAAAAAUGAUAGCAAUGGAGGUACGUGAUGAUUUUUUUUCAAUUUUUUUAACAAUGAAUGAUGAGAUUAAUUAAUGUUUUUAUAUUUUUAAAAAGUAAAUUAAAGAUUGUCAUUCUAAAUAGGAGUAAAUUAAAAUUUUUCCUAUAAUAUAUAAAAACACAUUUUCGAAUUAAAAUGCCUCUGGCCCAUUUUUUAAAAAAGGACUUGUUAGUUGCUUCGAUUUGUAGCAAAGAAUAGCAUAAAAGAAAGUAAAACAAUAAUAUAUUACUCAAAUUCGUACUUCAUAAAAUGUCAGACGUCGUUUAUGUAUUUUAAGAUAUGAUCAGGGUUACCUGCUUCAAUUGCAUUUCGAGCGGCAAGUCUGAAGUCAUUUACAAUUUUUGGGAUUUCUUCUAUGCUCAAUGGACGAGGAGGUGACCAGUCUAGUCCGUCUACGCCGGGCGUCACUCCCUUAGAAGUACUUGAGAUUGGAGCUUCUCCAUUUGGCUGAAGGCCUGUGUUCAUUUAAUAUAUAUCAUAUUAAAAUUCGCACUAUUUACACUAAAUAAUCAGAAAUUAGUUUUUUUUUUUUUAAAAACCCAAAAAAACAUUAUAUUGAUUAAGAAACUGUUCCAAACAAGGACACGAUUAUAACUUUAAAAGGUAAAUACUCUUUUGUUUCCUAUAACUUAACUGAAUUUUUUAUUUAUCUAAAAGAUUCUUGUUGAGUAUCUAUUUCCUUUAAAAUCGACCUCAUUAAUCUCUAUUUUUUAAAAUAUUUGUAACAAGAGGUUAGUUUUAUUGUUUCGUUUUUAACAAAAAUAUUUCUUGAGUCUGUUAGCCUUUUGAUCAUACCAUAAUUAGAGACUCGGCCUGCAUGCCAAAUUUGGCAAAAGAUGAUGCCACCCUUCUGAUGAACAGCAUCCACAAUUGGUUUCCAAGCUUCCACUUGCUCCUUUGUCCAAAUUCCAGGUGUGUUUGGAUACCUUCAAUUUAUUUAAAUUAAAUGGUUAUUAUCAAAAGUAUUUCUCCAAAAUCUGCUUCUUAUGCUACCCUUUGAAUUAAUAUUCAACUUACAUCAACAUUACUUCUUAGUUUCUCGAACAUUAAAAUUUUUUUUAUGAUUUCGAACCCCUUUUUUUCUGAAAGCACUUUUUUGAAGAUUCUGGAAAACAAUUGGCAGAGACUUUGCAAUCACACUUCAAAGAAAAAUCGUUUUGCAUCAUCUAAAAGUAGGGCAUCAAUAUAUAAUAUACGGAAACACUCAACAGAAAUUUUUUAAAAAAAAUCCAAUUAGUUCAAUAUGACUUGAAAAAGAAAUUGGGAAUCAUAUGGAAUUAAUUUUGAAAAUAUAUUUAUGUUUUUCAUAGAAUUCACAUAUGCAAAUGACAUGCGUUUAAUUACCGAAAAAAAGGAAGCAAAAAUAUAUUCACAAAAUUACCCUUGAGCAGUGUUGGAAACCCCAGUUGCUUCAGCAACGAGAAAACCACCAUUAGUAGUGCGCUGAGAAUAAUAUAAAAUGGCAUGUGGCUGUGGAAUGUGGUUGUAUGAUCUAAUUCUUGUCAAUGGAGCCAAUACCAUUCUGCAAAAAUAAGCAAAUCCAUUAGUUCAUGUUAAUUAAAAUAAAUUCUCAAAAAAAAGCUGAUAAAUUACUAACAAGCAACAUUUAUGACUAAAUUUUUUUCACCCAUUAAGCCGAGUUUCUUAAAAAUAUAAAUAAUAAUGUCGUCUACAAACAUUAGAAGAAAAACUUAGUAGAUAAAAUAAUUAUAUAAGCAAAGGAACCUGUGAGAGAGAUGGAAUUGUCCCAUUUUAUAAGCAGUGAGAAGGGGAAUAUUGGUGGUGGUGGUGGUGGCCGCAUCCAUUGAUGCAAUUAAUCUUUUAACUCUGCCUUGCCUCUCUUCUCCGCUUAUCGCUUCUUCUCCCAUCAACAUUCUAUUUUAUAGAAAAGAUUAUCAAAUAAUUCAAAUCAGAAAAGUCUAAAUUUGAGUCUCGUGGGAGCAAAAGUCAAUUAUUGCUAAAGAAAAUGUAAAGAGAGGAGUGACGCAGAUUGAUGUUUGCAAUUAGAUCUCCCGUCUGCUGUGGAACUUCUAUUUACCUUCCCCUUUUUACCUUUCUUAAUUAAAACAUAGCCUGGUUAUUUUAUCAAUUUGGUAAUAUGAUUUUUGCAUCAUAUAUAUAUUGCAAAUGUAUUAUUUAGAUUAUGUAAAAUAAUUUUUUUAAUCUGUAAUACAUUUGGUAAUAUAAACAUGUUUCUCAAAUGCGCACCACAAACAUGAAAUGGCCUCCAAUUUUUUUUUUUUUUUUUAAGGUGAACCUCCAGAGUAGGAGAGAAGUUUUAUUAGUAGGAAAAGAAAAAUUACACCUGCUUGGGGGGACACAAUGAGUCUUAUUCCUGUGAAAGAAAUUAAGAACAUUCCAAAAGAGAACCUCUAAACAAAUCAACCUAUGCAUGUAUGCAAAAAAAUAGUAAAUAGUUACAUACAAUAGAACCUCUAUAAAUUAAUUCUCGAUAAAUUAAUAAUCUCUAUUAUACAAUAAAUUUUGACGGUCCCAACUUGGACUAAUAGACUAAAUUAAUAAUUUCAAUAAAAUAACAAGAUAAUACUUUUCUAAAAAAAUCUUAUAUAACUUUGUGGUCCCAUUCAAAUCAUAAAUUAAUAAUUUUUCUAAAAUUACAAAUGUAUUUGACUAUAAUAUUUUAAUUAUAUAAAAUAUGACUAUUGUUACUUAUUUACAUAAAAUAUGACUUUAUUUUAUACUUGUUUUUCCUUAAAAUUUAAAUCUAGUUAGAUUUCAUCUCUUAUUUUUCUUAUUGCAUCUAAAAAUUCUGUGUAGUUACUUUCUCAAAUUAUAAUAAGAAAUUAUGAAAUAUUAUUGAUGUAUGUUAAUUGAAUUAGAAAUAACUCUGUAAAUUAAUAAAUUAAUAAUUUAUCGAUUUUUUAAUUUCUUUUAUAAUUAAUAGAUUUUAUAUGAUUCCAAUCCUAUUAAUUCAUAGAGGUUCUACUGUAAUAGAUUGAAAAUUAAAAAAAAAAACUAACAAAAUCCAUAGUUAGAGGCACCCAUUAUUUAAAUAUAGUUUUCCGAAAAUACUCAACAUAAGUUCAAUUGAAAAAAAACAGCCUUAAAAGUUAAUAUCACUGGAAAAAAAAUUGGGAACCGUGUGGCAUUUGUUUUGACAAUAGACACCCUAUUUUAAUAUUUUCCAUAAAAAUUUAAAUUUGUGAAUUAAAAAAAAGGAGUGAAAGGGAAAAAAAUAGUAGCACAAUUACCCUUGAGCAGUGUCUGAGAUCCUAUUUGCUUCAGCAAUGAGAAAACAGCUAUUAGUGCGCUGAGAGUAAUAAAAAAUGGCAUGUGGCUGUGGAAUGUUGUUGAACGAUCUAAUUCUUCCUAGUGGAGCGAAAAACUAUUUUGCAAAAAAAAUAUAAUAAUAAUUAAUUUUUUUAAAAAAUUAAUAAAUUACAUUUUUGAAAUAAAGAAUUCAUUAAUGUUAAUAAAUUACAAACAGAACCGUACGUGUGAGAGAGAUUGAAUGGCCCCAUUUUGUAUCGUGUGAGAAGAGGAAUGGCGUCGGCGGCUGCCAUGUUUGAUGUUUCCAGAAGCAACAGAAUAAAAUUAACAAAUAUUUGAAUUGACAGAUACAAGCUCUAGUAUCUGUAUAAACUUACACGUAUCAAACUGUGAGACUACUUGAUUCUUGUUUGAAUUUUGAAUGGUCUCAAAAUUAAUAAUUUAAUAUUUUUUAUAAUCAAGGCUCACUUCAUUUGAAUACAUAUAAGAGAUAUAAAACUUAGACCCGAAAUUAUAUAAUAUGACAUAGACAUCAUUUGAUUUAUAUUCUAGAUUUGACUCUUAGAAUGACAAAGGAAAACAGAUGGAAAGUAACUAGCUAUUAGGGAUAUGAAAACUAGCUGAUUACACUGUUUAGCAAGCACUACAAGUUUUUUUUUUUUUUUAAUUUAAAACCUACUAUUGGGGAGGUUAGGCGAGACCUCUUUACCUGUAAAAUAAAUUAAAAAUAAAAAAAAAAUAUUUAGAGGGAAAAAUAUACCAAAACUUCUAAGUCAAAGAAAGAAAUAGCCUAAAAGAGAAAAUUAGCAAAAGCAAAUAAAAGAAACAAAGAAUAAGCAAGAGAACACCCUAAGGCAAAGCCUAACAAAAGAAACCAUAUGAAAGUGAGCUAAUGCCCAAAGUACUUACGAUACUUCCGUCUGGUGACUAAUUUGAAGCCCUUCUUUGAACAAGAGGCACGUGGGCUAGCAACACUAAAAUGCAUCAGCCACCAUAUUCCCUUCAAAGCUAACAUUCUCAUUAGAAUGAGAAGGAAUCUCCGUAGAGUGGGAAUUGAAAUUCAUAACCAUUGUGCGAAUAUCAUCCACUAUAGAUAGAAAUAAAUUAGAGCCCACGAAUACCCUCUAAGCACCCGGAUAAUUCAAAAACAUAUCAUUACCAUCCGUGGUCAUAUCAACUGGGCUCCAUAGAGAAGAAUCACCAUGAUCCUCAAGGAGCAACAACUAGAUCAGACUGAACAGGAAUGGCAAUAUCAUCAACAACAAUAUCAUUAGUGCAAUUAGUAUUAGGCCGAACCUGGUCAACUAGAUCCACCUCAUCAUUUUGAGCAUCAGAAGUAGGGAUUCUAGCAUCCGAAGAGGCACCCUCAGUAGGGCAUAAGCUACUGAGGCAAACUAAAAGACUGCCCCUAAACAAAGGAAGGCUGAGUAACAAGCCCCAAGGCCAAUUAUCUAUAACAACGUACUGAGGAACAGUGGGAACCCGAGGCUGAACAUCUACAAUAGACAUAGGUUGCUUACCCUUAUCAGUAGUAUCUCUACCUUAACGCUCAUUAGCAGGUUAUUGAGGCUUCAAAAGCCAAGAAUUAGCUAUGUAGCAACCAUUCGUGGAAUGGCCAAGGUGCUUACAGGAAGGACAAUAAGAAGGAAUCUGCUCAAAAAUAAUAUCCUAUCAGAAAUUAGAAUCAACUUCACCAAUCUAAAGGCAUGGCAAUAAAGGCUAUGAAACAUCAUAUUCUAUCAAAACCCUAGCAACAGAAGGCCUAUCAACACGUAAAGGCUUUCUUAUAAUAACAAUUAUCGAAUAUAAUGCUGAUUUGCAAUGAAUAAAAUGAACAGGUAAAUACGACAAAGAAACCAAAACCAUAGGGGACUCCUCAGAACAACGAAAGGUAAUGGACCAUUUAAAAAUCCCCAUAGUUAUACCAUUUAUAUGCCAUGUUUACUUAACCCAAACUCGGGAACAGACUUCCUCUAACUGAAGCUUUAUCAAAUCAUGUCGAUUAUCAAGCAAAGCUAGAUGUGUCCUUUUAAGCCCAAAGAGAAAAAAAAAACUUUCUAAUUACAUCCAUGGGAGAGUGGCUAAAAGAGAAGUUGCCUACUAAAGACAUCUUAAAUGGUUCAUCCAUGCAAAACUUCAGCAGUUGUAAAUAAAUAACAGGUUUGCCUCGAUGAAGAGUGCCUAUCUCAGCAGAUAAGGAAGGCGAACAUGAACUUGCAACAACAUCAACAAAGGAUUUAGAGGGCCUAGAGGCAAUAUUAGGGUCAAAGAUGGACACAGGGUUUACUGUAGAAGCAUAUGAUGGCUUGGGAUGUUGAGAAGGAUUAAGAUAAUAAAUAAGAUGCCAAAAAAAUAAAAUAAAAUAAGAAAAGUCAAAGCGUGCUCAGCAUUGUCCUUAAGACUAUUUCUGCCCCUUAAAAUAAUAUUUUGGUGCAAAUAAAUUGUUGACAGAUAAUCCCCAAGAUACAAUGACUGUAAUUGUUGUAAGAGUGCACACUCAAUAUAACAAUUUGCAACAACAGUAAAUAAAUAUAUAAUACGAUGAUUUAUGUGGUAAUAUGGAAAAAGUAGAGUUGAAGAAGAAAUUAAGAAAAAAAUUAAUAUCUUGUAGUAAUCUAUAGAUUACUAUUUAUAGAUUAAUGGUGUCUAUUCAAAAUACCUUUUCAAAUAGCCACCAUUUAAUUUAAGUCUAUUUCAACUACUAUCAACUUCCUUCAACGUUAUUUUCAUAACUACCACAACUUCCUCAUUAACAUUUAAAUUUGAACUCUUGUAAUUUGAUUCAAAUUUAACUGUGCAGGAUCCGGUAUUUUGAAAUAGCCUCACACUCAUACAACAAUCCCCCACAUAUUUCAAAAUACGCACAAAUUUAAUUAAUCAUCAUAUUUUAUUUAGAAUUUAAAGCAUAUGUCCUUGUGCUUUUCAGGCUAUGAACCAGGCAUUGACCAACUAAUCGUAUUUCACAGGAACUUGGUGAAAUAUAAAAUUUCUAUUAACCAAUGUUCCUUUAACGUGAAUCAAAGGACUAAUUGUUCACAUUAAACUCUCAAUUACUUUGUGGUUUCGCGGUUUGUCACUUUAAUGACCAUGUGCCUACCUGGAAUUCAUGAGUGCUCUAGAGAUGUUUGCCUCACUCUUAUAGGAAUCGACCCAAUUCCAAACUCAUAUAGGUGAACCUCCAUCAAGAGUUCUUUAUAGUUUAAGUACACUACCAUACAGUAUUUAGGCUAUGGAGUUCAAUAAGAGUUAAAAGAAAAACUCAACCUUUUUUUUUCACUACAAUGGGUACUAUCUCACCAUAGCGAGGACUCAAUUUUAUUAAUUUGAUAGUACUGCAAAACAAUAGGUAACUUGUUAUUACCUCUAUGAACCUACUCCAUGGAAUCUCCAAUCACAUAGGUGGGGUUUACUAUUACCCUUGCCUUAUGUUCUACGCAAUAGUCUCAUCCCCUUCAAUGUUUGUUCUACUAACCUCCUAUUUAGUGGUUUAAUCAGAGGAUCGGCCAAAUUUAACUCUAACCUGACAAAAUCUAGGCUUACUACCCUAGAUUCUAACAGCUGCUUAAUUAUAUUGUGUCUUAGACGAAUAUGUCUACUUUUCCCAUAAUAAAUUUUAUUCUUUGUUGUGGCUAUUGCAGCUUGACAAUCAUAAUGAAUCGAGAUUGAAGUAAGAGGGUGAGAAUUAAUGGGAAGAUUUGCUAAAAAAUUUCUCAGCCAGUCAACCUCAGUACAUGCCUUUUCUAAAGCAAUUAGCUCAGACUCUAUGGUGGAACGAGCAAUACAUGUUUGCUUGGAAGAUUUCUGUGAAACUGCACCUCCACCAACGGUAAAUAUAUACCCACUAGUAGAUUUAGUUUCAUUGGAUUCAGGUAUCCAAUUUGCAUCACUAUAACCGUCUAAUACUGGUGGAGAUGUAUCAUACAUAAGCCCAAAAUUCAUUGUGCCUUUCAAAUAUCUUGCAAGUCUAUCUAAGGCAAUCCAAUGAUCCUUGUUAGGAUUUUGAGUAUAUCUACUCAAUCUACCAACGGCAUAAGCAAUGUCUGGCCUUGUACUAUUCAUUAAGUACAUGAGGCUACCAAUAAUUUGGGCAUAUCUUGUUUGGCUAACACUAUGCUCAUUAUUUUUCUUAAGUUGGGUAUUUGCAUCAUAUGGCGUAGAUACAGAUUUGCUCUAGUAAUACCUAAACUUCUUUAAAAUUUUCUCAACAUAGUGCUCUUGUGAUAAUCUAAAACCAUCAUUUGUUUUUAUUCCAAGUAUAACAUUUGCUUCUCCCAUAUCUUUCAUAUCAAAAUUAGAAGCAAGUAGCAUUUUAGUUUCGUUAAUCACAUUUAUACUUGGACUUAAGAUAAGCAUAUCAUCAACAUACAAGCAAAUGAUCACAUAUAGAUUAGUAUCAAAAGAUUUAUAAUAUACACAUUUAUCUAAAUCAUUGAUUCAAUAUCCAUUUGUUACUAAUACAUGAUCAAAUUUCUCAUGCAAUUGUUUUGGCGCUUGUUUUAAGCCAUAUAAUGACUUAAUUAGCUUGCAAACCUUAUGCUCUGUACCUGGAAAUAUACAACCUUCAAUUUGCAUCAUAUAUAUUUCUUUAUUAAAUCUCCAUUUAAAAAUACAGUUUUUACAUCCAUUUUAUGAAUAUGCAAAUUUUGUAUUGCAACUAAUGCAACAAAACUCUUAUAGAUGCAAUUUGUGUUACAGGAGCAUAAGUAUCAAAAUAAUCUAUGUCUUUCUUUUGAGUAAAUCCUUUGGCAAUUAAUCUUACCUCAUAUUUGUCAAUUGAUCCAUCGGCCUUUAACUUCUUUUUAAAUAUUCAUCGACACCCAAUUGGCUUGACACCAGGAGGUAAGUCAACAAUUUCCCAUACGUGAUUACUUAUAAUUGAAUCCAUCUCAUUAUUGAUAUCCUCUUUCCAGAAUGGAGCAUCAUGAGAAGUCAUAGAUUCCUCAAAUGUUUGAGGGUCACUUUCAGUUAAAAAGACAUAGAAAUCACCACCAAAAUCAGUAGCUUUUCUUAUUCUUUUACUUCUCCUUAAUUCAAUAUCUGAACUUUCAAGAGAAUUACUCUGUAAAUCGACUUGAGGUAAUGUUGUGUCUAUAUACACUUUCUUAGGAAAAACAUAUUCAAAGAACUCGGCAUUUUUAGACUCAAUAAUAGUAUUUAGAUCAAAUACUUAAUUUUUAUCUUCAAGUAGCAAGAAUCUAUAUGCGGUGUUAUUUUGAGCAUAUCCUAUGAACAUAAAAUCAACAGUUUUAGGUCAUAUAUCCUGUUUCUUUUAGGAUAGGGUAUUACUAACUUUGCAAGGUACCCCCACACGUUGAUAUAUGAUAAAUUAGGCUGAAAACCUCUCCAUAACUCGUACGGGGUCUUGCCAGUUUUCUUGUAUGGAAUUUUAUUUUGUAGGUGACAAGCUGUAAGAAUAGCUUCCCCCCACAAAUUCAUAGGAGCCCCAGAACUUACAAGCAUUGCAUUCAUCAUUUCUUUUAGAGUUUUAUUUUUCCUCUCAGCAAUCCCAUUUGAUUUAGGUGAAUAAGGAGGUGUAAUUUCAUGAAAAUGCCAUGAUUCUCACAAAGGCAUUGAACAUGUUAGAUUCAUACUCCCUUCCUCUAUUAGUUCUUAAUUUUUUUAUUUUCUUCCCAAGUUGAUUUUCAACUUCAUUUUUAUAAAUUGAGAACUUUUCACCCACUUCAUCUUUAUUUCUCAAUAAAUACACCUUAGUAUCUCUUGAUAAAUCAUCAAUAAAGGUGACAUAGAAUCUUUUACCUCCUCUGGUCAUGGUUUGUUUUAAAUUUCCAAGGUCAUUGUGAAUUAAACUAAGAAAUUCAAUUUCUCUGUUAAGAAUUAGGUUACAUGUCCUUUAUGUGGACUUAGACUCCACACAUAUAUCACAUUUUCCUAUGUUUGAUACACUAAUAUUAGAUAGUAAGCCAAUAUCUUUCAUUUUCUUUCAAUAAGAAAAAUUCACAUGGCCUAAUCUACCAUGCCGUAAAUCAACAGAGUCAACAAUAUAAGAAGAAGGAGAGACUUUGUUAUUAAUAAUUAUGUCAAGUACAUUAAUCUUGAACAAAUCACCAAAGCAAUAUCCUUUCUAACAAAAACCCCAUUUUUAGUCAUUACAAUUUUAUCUCCUUCAAAUGAGACUUUUACACCUGCUUUCCCAAGUACAAAAACAGAAAUUCAAUUAUAUCUAAUAUUGGGAACCUGUAGUACAUUGUUCAAUGAAAGGAUUUUUCCAGAAGUCAAUUUUAGAAGAAUUUUCCCUUUUCUCAUAACUGAAAUAGCACUACAACAAACAAUAGCAUUACCGACGAGAUAUUUCCGAGGGUUUUAUUUACCUUUGGUACUAAGUACUUUUUACAAAGGUGAAAAAGAGUUGUCGGAAAAACAUUAAAAAUCCUAUUAGCUCUUUCAAGAGAAAUUAUUGUCGGUAAUAAAUAAUACACUAGUCGGAAAUACAGCUAUACAAGGGCAUAAUUAAUGAUAAAUCUUCUCAAGUUGGACCUAAUGUUAGUGAUAUGUUUAAAAAUAAAUGAGUGGCUAAUUAAAUUAUGCACUGCCUCUCUCUAAAUAAAAGCCCGAACUUGAACUUGAACUCGGUGGCUAAUUAGAUUAUUAUUAGUCCACUAAAAUUGAUUUCAUUUGAAAAAAAAAAUGGAGAAGAAGGCGAUUAGAAGAUCACAGAUCUCCCUCUCAAUAACUUUUUAAUUACACAAAGAUCUGACAAUUACCCAAAGGUGAUUAUCGAUUGUUCGCACUUUUCGAUUGCCGAAGGUGAUUAUCUCACUUCUCCAUUGUUCGAUCUCUCAAAUUUGCAGUUGAUUUCUUUAUUUUUUUCAAAUUAAUUUAAGGUGAGAUUCAAGUUAGUUUUGGAUUAGUUUAUGAUUUCUGUUGAGUUGUGUCCCACAUUGGCUAGUAAAUGGGAGAUACUUGGGUUUAUAAGGUGGUAGGUCACUCCACCUAAAAGGCUAGUCUUUUGGGUUGAAUACCUAGAAAUCUUAUGUUAAGUCCCCCCAACAAGUGGUAUCAGAGCUAGACCCUAGUAGCCAGAAUGUGGUGGUGGAACAAAUCAGGUGUGUCGGACGAAAGGAUCGAAGUCCGGCGGUGGUUUCGUCCGAGGGGGGGAUUGUUGAGUUGUGUCCCACAUUGGCUAGUAAAUGGGAGAUACUUGGGUUUAUAAGGUGGUAGGUCACUCCACCUAAAAGGCUAGUCUUUUGGGUUAGAUACCUAGAAAUCUUAUGCUAAGUCCCCCCAACAAUUUCCAUCAGCUGAUGAGUUUUAGGGUUCUAUUCAAAGAUCUCUUCACAUUGCUCAACAAACAUAUCGAAUGAUCCGAAUUCAAACAUGUCAUUAAAAUAGCCGAUCAAGGUCCAAUUUUCAUCUGAUUUCAAACGCAUCAAUUUACUUUUCUUGAGUCUCUUUCUGAUUUCAAUGGAGUCUCCAAGCUGUUUGUUGAAAUGCCUUAUAGAAAAAGGAAUGUUAUUUAAACAAAGUUGGGGCUUAGUCAGUUGAAAUGCCUUAUAGAAAAAGGAAUGUUAUUUAAACACAGUUGGGGCUUAGUCAGUAGAUAUUAAACUAUCAGGUUCAUGGAGACUAUAAUCCUAGUGUAUAAUUACAACUUGGCAGCAUCAUUUUUGCAUUUAUUUAAUUUUCCUUUUUCAGAAACAAUAUUGAUUAUUUGGUCUACUAAUGAUGAUGUGGGGAUGGAGCAGAUUCAUAUUUCUUGAUUCAUAUAGGAUAUUAUUUGGUCGAAUGAAGAUGAUGAUGGGAAUGGAGAAGAUGAGGUAGAGGCAAACGUAGGUCUCAGAGGCUAAAGAACACGUGUUGGAGGAUGCUUGAAAUAAUUCAAGCUAUGAAAUCAUAUUGCGAAUACAUUUGAAUUUUUUUUAAUAUACUAUUAAAAUUGAUUAUGUAGUACUUUUGAUUGGUGAAUGUGAUUUCUAUAAAUUUUUGAAAUUAAUGAAGCUACAUUUAAUGUAUUUUGCGUGUUGCUAUUGCUAUUGCUAUUUUGUUGAUUAUGUUGCAUUGGUAAUACAUAUAGUUAAAAAGAAUAAAAAUAAAAAGAAUAAGAAAUAAUAAUAUUAAAUAAAUUAAAUGGGUCACUAAAUAAAUAUAGAAGAAUAUUUCCAACGUGUUUCUUGCAUUUUCGAGGGUAAAUUACGGUUGGAAUAGUAAUCAUUUGUGCUAUUCAGCCUCAUUUCCAAGGGCAGUUAAUGCUAUUUCCAAGGGCAAAUGCAAUUGGAAAUAUGUAAUUUUUCGUUUUAUAGGGAUCAUUUUCCGAGGGCAUUUGAUGUCAUUUCCGACGGCACUGCCAUUGAAAAUAAUUUAUUUCUCCGACGACCCAUCGAAAAUUGUACUUUUCCGAUGCGACUUAAUACGACGACGGUCGACGGCAUGACUUUCUCGGAAAUGAGGUGAGCAUUUAUGUAUUUCCGAAGAUAUUUGCCCUCGGAAAUAACCAAUUUUCUUGUAGUGUAGAGUGGGAAUCACCAAGAUACACUUGUUCUUCUCCAUCACUCAAUUAAACAUACUCAAAGAAAGAAUUUUAUGUCACUACAAAUGUGUUUGGUAGUGCCAGAAUCCAUCACCAAUUCUUUGUUUCCCUCAGCAACAAUCAUGUUCGCUUGAGAGACCACCACAGUGGCAAUAAUAUCUUCCCCGUCGACCAAAUGGCCUUAGGAGGCUUGUGAUCUCCAUUUUUGUAUCUACAUUUAUUAGCAAAAUGUCCAGGUUUGCCACGAACAUAACAAUUGCCUUUUUUUUCUUGAAUGUGUUUUUUUUUUAUUUUUGAAAAACUUUUUGUUGGUCUUUUGAUUCUUGCUUGGAUGAGCCUCAUUCUCAGCUAUAUUAGCCUUAAAAGUAAUUUCCUUGGCUUCCUCCAAUUGAUCCAUUUGUCAAUGUUUUUCUGCAGUUGGGAUAUGAACAAUAGCAUCCUCCAAAUUCUUAUGCUUCCUUUCAUGCUUAUUAUUUUUCUUAUAAUCUUUCCAUGAGUUAGGUAAUUUUUCAAUUAGGCGACCAACCACAAAAGACACUGGAACAAUGAUAUUUUCAUUUUUCAGAUCAUUAAUAAGCAUAUGGAAGCCAUGAAUUUGAGAAGUCACUUCCUUAUCUUCUGUCAUCUUAAAAUCUAAAAAAAUUAGCAAUGACAUACUUUUAGGCUCCAGCAUGUUCUAUGAUAUAUUUUUUCUUCAAUUGAGCCCAAAUUUCAUAUGCAAACUUGUGCUGUGAAUAAACAUCAUAUAAUUCAUUUGAAAGAGUGUUGAGAAUGGUGCUUCAGCGUACCUUCUUUGCUUUAAUCCAAUUUUGAAGUAAUACCUCAUAAUUUUCAGAGUCAUAAUCUAGUGGAGGCUCUGUGAGAAAUUCAGCAAGGUUCAUUGCAUGCAAUGUAUCACAGAUUCGAUCAUGCCACCACUUGAAAAAAUUCCCACCAAACGGUUCAAAUUUUUUGUGUCAGGUAAAGUUUUGGUGGCAGCCAUCAAUGUAGCAUCAGUUACGGCAUCCAUUAAAAGAAUUAGUCUUAAGAAUGUUGGAGAAGAAUUAAGAUAAUAAACAAGAUGUCAAAAAAAAAAAGAAAAAAAAAAAGGAAAAGUCAAGGCAUGCUGCGCACUGUCCUUAAGACUAUUUCUACCCCUCAAAAUAAUAUUUUGGUGUAAAUAAGUUGUUGAUAGAUAGUCCCCAGGAUACAAUGACUGUAAUUGUUUUAAGAGUACACAAUCAAUACAACAAUUUGCAACAACAGUGAAUAAAUAUAUAAUACGAUAAUUUAUGUGGUAGUGUUUGGAAUAUGAAAGAAGUAGAGUUGAAGAAGAAGUUAAGAAAAAAUUAUUAUCUUGUAGUAACCUAUAGAUUAUUAAUUAUAAAUUAAUGGUGUCUAUUCAAAAUACAUUUUCGAAUAGCCACCAUUUAAUUUAAGUCUCUUUCAACUACUUUCAACUUCCUUUAACAUUAUUUUCAUAACUACCAUAACUUCCUCCUUAACAUUUAAAUUUGAAAUCUUGUAAUUUGAUUCAAAUUUAACUGCGCAGUAUCCGGUAUUUUGAAAUAGCCUCACAUUCAUACAGCAUGGGAAUUGUAUUUUGGUGGUGAAUCGAGCUUGGGUGGGGCCACAAACAGGUUACAAAACAUCAGUGUUGGUUUUGUCACGGUUUAGGGUUUAAGAUAAAUUGUGUGCAUGGCUUUACAAAGAGGCAGAUGGUUGUUGAUGAUGAGUGAUCGUCGGAGACAUCAGUGGCGGCUGGCCAGUGUCAAGAACGGCAAAGAGACAGUUGGGUGGGGGUGUUUGUUGUUGAGUGGUAAUGAUGGAAGGCAACAAAAUUGAUGGAGGCGGCUGUUAAAGAUGAGACGCGGGCAACUGGCUAGGGCUCAGGUUUGACAUACGCGUGUAUAAAUGAGACGUGAUCAGUAGGAUCUGAUGAGGGCAAUGGCUGUACGGUGGCUGUAAGUGGCAUGGGAGGGAUCCAGCGGCUGUAAAUCAGCAUUAAGGGUGGUGGGGGAGGGGCCGGCAUGAGAGGGAGAGCGAGCGAUGGUUGGCGACAUUGCAAGGCCAAAAGCAGAUAUGGCUAAGGGGCUAGGGGCCAGUUGGAUGGUGGUCGGCAGAGAGCGGUGGUUCCGGCGGUGGUGCCGGCAGUGGUUGGUCACCACUACCGACAGCCGGUGAGGCCAUACCAGUGUCUAGAAAGUGAAAGGAGUGUGGCAGCUAUAUGAGUUGGGGUUUUAACGAGCGCUAUUCAGACCAUUUUAGCAAAUGACCUAUUUAUCCUUUUUUUUCUUUAAAUUUUUAAUGUCAAGACUGUAUUGAAUAUUACCUGGCUACAAGUUAAUUAAACUUAUGUAUGGACAAAUAACCUUAGUAAAUUACAUUAAACGUUAUUUACAUUAAAUAAAUUGACAAAUUAACUAUUAAUUGUUCAACAUAUUUCACAACUUCUCUUUUAUUAUUUAUUAUAUUUCUAACCGUUCAAUUAAAUCUAACAACCUCCUCCGACAAAUGUUUGUUACCUCAUCAUGUGACAUGUAACUUAACCGUAGCCAUAGGCAAAUUACAGCUAAUUAAUAAUACUUCCCGCACAUUCUGUUAUGCUUUGCUGCAUGCUCCAAUCAGCUGCUGCUACUCCUUGCUAACUACUACGUUCACUAGUUCAAACUUGAUUAUUUCCCUCCAAAGUGGAAGUGGAUUCAUGUAUCAUUUUUCAAGUACUGUACUUUCAAGCCCAGUGUCAUUACGAAAUUGAGGCCCUACUAGCUAUUGUAGUUAGAAAAUUAUAACUUUAUAAUUUUUGGUAGCAAACAUAUUAUGAAAUUAAGGGCCUAUUAACUAUUGUAGUUCGUCAGUUAUAAUUUAAAAACUAUAACUUUAUAGUUUUUAGUAGUAAACAUUUACUAUUGUGUUUAGAAAUUAAUUAAGUUAAUCUUAUCUCACACUUCUAUUAUGAAAAAAUUUAUAAUAUUUUUACUACUUUUAUCAAAAUUGUUAUUUAAAAACAAAUUUAUCUCACGCUAGCUAUUUUCAUUUCAAACGUUCAUCUUGUUUACAAUAAUAAAUUACUCUCAAUUUUCAUAUGCUAAAACCACUUUCAAAAAAUCACAACAUGAAAAGCCAACAUUAAAUAUAUAAAUUAAUCAUGCAUUUAAGCUGGAACUUCAAGGAAAGGAUAAUCUGUGUACCCAACAACAGGAUCAGGAAUGUAAAAAGUGCUUCUGUUGUACUUGUUCAGAGGUGCAUUCAGCCCAAAGCGCUUUGGCAAAUCUGGAUUAGCCAAAAAUAAACGACCGAAAGCAACCAAAUCUGUAUUACUCUCAGCAACAGCUUUGUUGCCUUCAUCUCUAUUGUAUCCUCCAGCAGAAAUGAAGGUUCCCUCAAAAGCG
rnacentral:lncRNA from 1 species